rnacentral:sRNA from 1 species
GACUGGCAUCACAGAGGCAAAAUCUUCUGGGAACUGUUUCCUGAGAGUCAGUCCACUGAAGCUACAUUCCAGAGGCAGCCAAGGCUGUACCUCAUGCUGGUGGCUGAAUCUGGGUCAUGUAAGAGUGACCCAGGUGGUAAUAGUUAUGAAAUCAUGAAGGAGUCACGGAGAGCAGCUGAGGCACGGCACUGUGAGACACCAGGAAAGGUCAUUGGCGAGAGUGCAGCCCAGUUGUGGCAGAAGACCCCAGCAUUUUGGAGAUGACAGUACUUAGGAUGAGCACCAAGGACAACAGCCGCGGUGGAGUGGAGCCACUGAAGCCUAGAAGACGAGGGUGCAGCUGGAGAAGCGACCCAUGCCCUUCCAGGGCGCCUAAAAAAUGUCAUUUUUAGAUUCACGGAAAAAUUAGACCAAAGAGGCAAAGGGCACACAAAGCCUCCGUGGAUAUGAACAUCUCCACCUGAGAGUGCUCUGUCACAAUCUGUGGUCCUGGGCAACACAGCAGCGUCUCGGAGUUACCGUCUAUAGCGGCGUUGGUCCCUCUCGGCAUCACACACCCGUGGCUUUGCAGAAAUACAGCAUGACAGCGUUCUUGCCGGGUUGCCCUGGCUGGCUGGCCUGAAGCUCAUAGCGAUCUAUGUGCUUGUCUUGGAGUCCUGGGAUUGAAGGGAGUGCUAUGCUUCCGGACUGUUUCUCUUCAUGAACACAGCAACGGGAGCUGCGUGCAGCAGUAAACCUGGCUCUGGUAAGCCUGGACCUUUGGACUCUGCUGUGCGUAGCCGGUACGGAGUCUAGCUCAUGAACACUAAGUUUGGUUUGGUGUUAAAGAAACUGGAUGAUUAAUCUCAUUGCUGACUCUGACCGUCAGGCAGAUCGCUGUUAGGAAUAGAAAGCCCUCACAUUCAUUUUAUGGAAAAUGGAUGCUAACAAUCGUUUAUACCAUCUAUUUAUCUCCAUGGUCCUUUAGAGCCAGAUCCCAACAAGAGGGCAUUUCUGACUAUGACUGAAAGCCCCUCAAGCGUACAUUUCAGAGGCCGUAGGACUCCUCACGGAGUUAAAGGGGAAGUACGAGGGGAGGUGCACGAGCGCCAUCUAGUGGCCAAUAGCAUCAGGCUCGUUGGCAGCCGAAAAUCUCCACUGAGUGUCAACACUACCAGCAACCUAGGGUUAGACCUGUGUGAGGAGCUUUUGCUCCUAAAGCAAAGGAGGGGACUGAAACGCACCCAAAACCCUUUGCAGCAGUUCGCCGCAGACCGUCUUAAUUAGGGCUCUCAGCAAGACCUUGGCUCUGGGUGAGCUGACGCGUCAACUAAUUCCUUCUCCACACGGAAUGGUUUUAUUUGUAGCCUAGAAUCAGGGCUCAGUGUUACCACGAGUCACAAAAGAGGAGGAAGCAAGCCGGCCGCUUAUUUCAAAACCAAGUCAAGCUAAGCCAGAUAAAGCUUUCAGCUAUGAAUCAUUGGAAAUGCGUUACUAUAAUCGCGAGUGCGCUCUUGUACACACAGCCUUCCACUGUAGCCAUUUCACUCCCUUACUUGAAUAACUUGGCUAUUUGUAUGAUUGUAUGGCAUCCUUCAACUGCAAGCGUGUUUAAAACCUCCAACGUUUUGCAACUGAGAGUGGUAGCUUGCACUUAAAUAGCGGAGUAAGACACCUCAUCCACUUUGCAAUGGCUGUGACUGAAACCAAAGAAACUAUGGGCAAACUCCUUCUCCUCAUGUGCCCAGGCCUCAGGCUCAGGCGGGCCCUCCCAUCCUGUUGGGGAGUUUGGUUACUUGCUUUAUGGAGGCUUUUUAUUGGACUCCCUGAGAAUCUGCAUGUUCUGAGAAGGAACUGUGUCUUCAUUUCCCGGGACUAUGGACAAAGCUCUCAUCUUCGUGCCAUUCACGGGGCCAUCAAGGAGGGUGAGGUGUCUGCACAUGUUCUCAUGGCACCAGAGCAAGGGCUGUUGAAGACUGUUGGGGAGACCACGGGGAAGCUCUGACCUUGGGGCCUGAGGCAGUGACUUGGGCUCCUUUACUGUGUUGCUUUUUACAACACUGAGUAGCAGAGAGCCCUGAGAUCAUUUCUUCACUAUUUGGCCAAACUUCAGAAGUUAAAAAAAAAAUAAUGGGGGUGUCUCUUUAAUGUAUCCAACGUCACCUAUGAAAAAAAAAGUUUCAAAUAAAAAGCAUGAAUUUGUGGGCUGGUAACAACGGUGCCGCUUUGUUUUCCUCAUUUCUGUUCAAGGGGACUUGCGAGGAGCAGAUCCUGUGGUUUAUGGUGCUCCCAUCCCUCCUCCCCAUCCCUUCCCUUCCUCCGCCCCAGGCUUGCCGAUAUAUAAACAACCCAAACAACCUGUCUCUUAUGGCUACUGGAAAGAAUUGAGCUCCACCAAGACCCAGGUUCCAUGAGCCCUGGAAACCCUGAUGGGGAAGCUGUAAUGAAUCUGUAUCCUUGUGGACUUUUCCACAGGGGAUUUCCUCCUCCACUCUGUUAAUUUAAAAUUCCGAUUAGGCCUGUCACUCGCAGAGCUGUAGCAUAGUCAGUGAUACCUGUGUCACCCUGGAUAAGGCGGAGUACAGGGGCUGGCCCAGGAGAUCGUUUCAUCUACUGCGCUUACAAAAAUUUAUGGUUUAUCACUUUAACAUUAUGUGUAUGAUGCUGGGCGGUAGUGACACACGCCUUUAGUCCCAGCACUCAGAGGCAGAGGCAGGCAGACCUCUGAGUCUGGGGUCAGCUUGUUGUACAGAGGGAAUUUCAGGACA